AGUUGGUUGUUUAUACCACCCAACUAAUCAAUCAUAUGAAGUAUUACAUUUUUUUUUCAGUUAAAAUCAAACAGUAGUGUUGAUAACCAAGAAACCGUAGAAGUUUGUUAUAUCAACGAGACAAUAUUUUCAGCAAAGAACUAAACUAAAUAAUCACAGUGUCUUGAGGCCAAUCUGUUGUUCAUGGCAAGCUAAGCUUUUGAUGAGGAAGAACGCGAUCUGAAUGUUGUUGUUCCAGCACGUUAGAGCUUUCUUUCAGUUAGUGAAUUGGGUUCCCUUGAGAUGAAAGUGCAGCUGGGGGCAGUGGGCCGGAUGGAAGGUCACCAAGUGUCAGGGAAAUUAAGCCGAAAAACAGAUACCCACCGGGCUGUGGAAAUAUUUGAAUACUAGAAAUAUUCCACUGCAGC